UCUUAAAUGUUUUUAUUUUCAGACGUCAAUUUAAUGCCUAUAAUAGUUUUUGAAUCCUUAAUAUAAAAUAAUUUAAUAAAACUUAAAUAAAAUUAUUUUUUCACAGUCAAUACUAUAUCAAAAUCGUUUACUCAUAUAUUAUUACCCCAACUCAUUUUAUACGACUUAUUCCUAACUUAUUGCAACAAAGACCUAUCACUGAGAUUUCUUCAAUUAAUAAACACCAAAAUAAAGAUUCCAAUAAUUUUUUAACUGAUCUAGUUCAAGAUACAUCUACAUAUAAAAUAAUGGUGGAGAACUUUCAGGAGAUGGUGCUAUCGGGUCAUGAGAAUAAUUACUAUAUGGGUUACCAAAAUGGCGGGUCCAGCUGAUUUGUAUUCAGGGAACACUUUUAAAAUGCAUUAUUAUGAACGCAUUGUCAGUCUAGGUAUUAUAAUAUAUCAUUGAUUCUAACUAACUUUCACUUUCCCUUA